UGUCUACUGUCUCGUCAUCUUUUUUUUUCUCACCGGACUGCAAAGAAGAAAAAAAACCCGCAUUAAUCAGCUCAUCGUGUUCCUGUCUGUCCACAUCCCAGGCUUUGACAUUAUCAUCUUCGUACAGAGAAGUGUAGAUAGAACUGUGGAGAGGCGGAGCCGGCAAACGGCACGCUAGAGCCCGGCCCAAGAUGGCGGCAAGGAGGCGGAGACGACAACCGAGCGGAGAGGCGGGGCUUGCCGGGAGCGACGCUACAAGCGAGAUCAGGUGCGUGGCUCACACACCGGGAGACAAUUAACGUAUCUCCUCUCAGCGUAUAAAAGGGGAGAAGGAGGAGAGAACGAGGCAGAAGGAGGUGGAGAGCCCGCAGCAGCGAUCGAAGAGCGGAAGCAACAGAGAGCAGACGACGACGACGACGACGAUUACGACGACGACGACGACGACGACGACGACGACGACGACGACGACGACGAGGACGACGACGACGACGACGACGACGACUACGACGGCGGCUGAAAAGCGACCGGCUAACGAGCAGUGGAGGAAGGAGCUGAAAAGUGUCCUGACUUACACUGGGGUUUAUUUUAGAUUAAUAAUUCAUUUUCUACCACUUGUCCUUAAUAAUUUUGACAAAAUAGUAGAAUGAUAAAUAACACAAUAUGAUACUGCAUAUGUCAGCAGACUAAUUUUUUACUUACUAAUUGUUUAUUUACUACUAAAAGACAAGUUGUUUAGUAUGUUCACUAUUUUAUUUAAGGACAAAAUUGCAACAAGAGACUAAUGUUUAAUCUACCGUAAGAUUUUUUGUUAAA